rnacentral:rRNA from 1 species
UACGUAGGGUGCAAGCGUUAAUCGGAAUUACUGGGCGUAAAGCGUGCGCAGGCGGUUGUGUAAGUUUGACGUGAAAUCCCCGGGCUUAACCUGGGAAUGGCGUUGAAGACUGCACGGCUAGAGUGUGUCAGAGGGGGGUAGAAUUCCACGUGUAGCAGUGAAAUGCGUAGAGAUGUGGAGGAAUACCGAUGGCGAAGGCAGCCCCCUGGGAUAACACUGACGCUCAUGCACGAAAGCGUGGGGAGCAAACAGGAUUAGAUACCCUGGUAGUCCACGCCCUAAACGAUGUCUACUAGUUGUCGGGUCUUAAUUGACUUGGUAACGCAGCUAACGCGUGAAGUAGACCGCCUGGGGAGUACGGUCGCAAGAUUAAA